rnacentral:rRNA from 1 species
GAGUCUGCAACUCGACUCCUUGAAGUCGGAAUCGCUAGUAAUCGCGAAUCAGAACGUCGCGGUGAAUACGUUCCCGGGCUUUGUACACACCGCCCGUCAAGUCAUGGAAGUGGGUUGCACCAGAAGUGGCUAGUCUAACCUUCGGGAGGACGGUCACCACGGUGUGGUUCAUGACUGGGACUAAGUCGUAACAAGGUAGCCGUAGGGGAACCUGUGGCUGGAUCACCUCCUUA